rnacentral:misc_RNA from 1 species
AAGACUAUAGACCUGCGGAGUACCUGCGGAAGGAUCAUUAUUGAAUUAUGUUUCUAAAUGGGUUGUAGCUGGCUCGUCAGAGCAUGUGCAUGCCUGUUUGGACUUCAUUUUCAUCCACCUGUGCACCUAUUGUAGUCUUUGGUUGGGUAUCAAGGAAGUGGUCAGCCUAUCAGCACUUGCUGGAUGUGAGGACUUGCAGUGUGAAAGCUUUGCUGUCCUUUACUUGAUCAUGGAGUUGUU